CCUACGGGUGGCAGCAGUGAGGAAUAUUGGUCAAUGGGCGUAAGCCUGAACCAGCCAAGUCGCGUGAGGGAUGAAGGUUCUAUGGAUCGUAAACCUCUUUUAUAAGGGAAUAAAGUGUGGGACGUGUCCUGUUUUGUAUGUACCUUAUGAAUAAGGAUCGGCUAACUCCGUGCCAGCAGCCGCGGUAAUACGGAGGAUCCGAGCGUUAUCCGGAUUUAUUGGGUUUAAAGGGUGCGUGGGCGGCCUUUUAAGUCAGCGGUGAAAGUCUGGGGGUCAACCAUAGAAUUGCCGUUGAAACUGGGGGGCUUGAGGGUGUUUGAGGCAGGCGGAAUGCGUGGUGUAGCGGGGAAAUGCCUAGAUAUCACGCAGAACCCCGAUUGCGAAGGCAGCCUUCCAAGCCCUAACUGACGCGGAAGCACGAAAGCGUGGGGAUCAAACAGGAUUAGAUACCCUUGUAGUC
rnacentral:rRNA from 1 species